GAAGCCCGAGCCGCCGGUGGGGCGGACCGGGGAGCGCCGAUGCGCCGCCAUUGGGUUAAGGCGGGCCGGCCGCCAUUUUGGAUGCCGAGUCGCCUCGCUGCGGGAAGGUUUUACCUUGGCCUAACAUCAGAAGAACCUACCAGUGAAUGUGCAUACAAGAGAACACAUAAGUACUCAAGGAAAUGAUAUCAUCUGAAAUGUAAAAAUGAAUAAAGAUUUUCACAAUAUCAACUAUGCUAUUUCUCAUGUCCAGACUCUUCUCCCAGCACCCAUAGUUUCAUCUCUUCCACAUUCCGUAUUGAGCACACAGUUUAGCAGAAGCUGAGAGCAGUUGCCCUGCAGAAGGACAUGAUCAGCACAAUGUUGCUGGCGAGGAAGAAGCAGCCUUCAUCUCCAGCUGAGUUCAGAAGGCUGUUGUUACUGUUGUUGUAUUACCAUUACUUAUGCUUAUAUUUGAAAAGCUGUAUUUUCUGGGGAAAAAAAAAAAGGAAUGCAUGCAGUCAAAGGAGGCAUAGAAAAGGGAUGAUGAUCAGAAAUGGCAGCAAGUGCUGAAAUAUCUAUCAUUGUAUUUUGGUUGCAUGCAAAUCUUAGACUGUUUCAUUUACCAACUUUAGCUAAAUCUUUAUAAGACUACCUGGGGCUUUACCCUCAGUUAACUGUGGGCCAUUCAUGUCCAGUUUCUGUAUACCUUUAGCUGUUACUCUUUGGAACCAAUCAUUUGGUAUAAUAAAGAGCAGUGUAGCCCCAUAGUGCAGACGUGGUUUUAUCAGUGACUUCGUGGAAAUAAGUUAGUGAUUGUGCUAAAAAAAAUAAGAAAUUAAUUUAAAAAAAAAAAAAUCCCAAUCCAAAGAAUUGUUAAAAUUAUGUAUGCAAAGAAAAAAAAUAAUUUUAGUAACAUGCUUUAAGUAACUUCAUGUUGUAGAAAGAGGAAAGGUAUUACUUGAACACACAAUUUCAGGGGCUUUUAAAAAAUGUUGCUUAAGAUGGGGUGGAUUAUAGGUUAGGAAACCACAGUGACAGAACUGAACUGUUAACAGAUAACCACCUAACUGAAUAUGAGCAGGUAUGCAGUUUUACCUUAGAUGCUUUUUCAUGGUUAAUCUUGAAUUUAAUUAUUAAGGUUAAUUCUGCAGGUCCUUACACACACAAAAGGAAUGAAUUCAAGACUUUUUUUGUUAAGUUGAAUCUGUGUUUAUCAGAGCCCUUUCAAAAUGCAAGAGAGGUCACAGCUGUUCUUUUCAUUCACACGUGAUCUGGUAAAACAAACAACAUAUGUAUGGGGCAUAAGAGUUUAGCACUCAGAACAUCGGGAUUUGUAUAUAAAUUUGAAAAUUGUAAAUAACAAAUUGUGUUUAACCUUUAUCUUUUUCUCCCAUCAA